rnacentral:lncRNA from 1 species
UAAAAAUACCCUGAAAACCUAAAAUCGGUGUUGAAAAUUCCUUAUGGCCCAUUUUAGGGUUCUGGCACGGCACCGCUGCUGUACUCUGGUGUCGGCUUUACCCUCCAUAACGGCAGUUCGCCUCGGCCUGGUCGAUUUUGACCAGUUUUAUCCAAUUUUACACAUAUCCAUGCGGAAGAACACGUUAGGGAGUCUCGAUUGGCCAGAAAAUCAUAAAAAACUAAACCUACCGGUU